rnacentral:rRNA from 1 species
GAUGAACGCUGGCGGCGUGCCUAAUACAUGCAAGUCGAGCGAAUGGAUUGAGAGCUUGCUCUUAUGAAGUUAGCGGCGGACGGGUGAGUAACACGUGGGUAACCUGCCCAUAAGACUGGGAUAACUCCGGGAAACCGGGGCUAAUACCGGAUAACAUUUCGAACCGCAUGGUUCGAAAUUGAAAGGCGGCUUCGGCUGUCACUUAUGGAUGGACCCGCGUCGCAUUAGCUAGUUGGUGAGGUAACGGCUCACAAAGGCAACGAUGCGUAGCCGACCUGGGAGGGGGACCGGCCACACUGGGACUGAGACACGGCCCAGACUCCUACGGGAGGCAGCAGUAGGGAAUCUUCCGCAAUGGACGAAAGUCUGACGGAGCAACGCCGCGUGAGUGAUGAAGGCUUUCGGGUCGUAAAACUCUGUUGUUAGGGAAGAACAAGUGCUAGUUGAAUAAGCUGGCACCUUGACGGUACCUAACCAGAAAGCCACGGCUAACUACGUGCCAGCCGCCGCAGUAA